AGACAUUUGAGUUAGAGAGAUUUUCAACAAUAUGUCAACAAGGGCUGUUUGGAACGGGAUCAAUUCAAGACAGUUGAGUCACAGAGAUUUUCAACAAUAUGUCAACAAGAUCCUCGCACCACUCUGACUGGAAGAAGUCUGGAAGUCAGACUCACUGCAACGAGGAAUGUCACAAUAUUCCCAGCGUUUAUCUGGACUGGUAGUGAAACACCAGGGCCAAAGUUCUCCAUCAGGAUUACGACAAUAAUUCUCCUUCAGAUCCUUCUCUGGAAAACUGAACCAGAAAAAUAAGAUUUUUAGGUUUCAAGAUACGCUACCUAAUAGCUGUAACAAUUAUCCUGUCUGGUGCAGGAUGGUCUGCAGCCCACCACUGAUGAAUGAGACCAUCACAGAACCUGACUCACUUUUCUGGGAGGUAUCCAUGAGAGUGAGGUUGCUGGGAGUCCCAGCGCUGGCACUCAAGCCCAGAUGCUGUUGUUGCAACUACUCCAUGGUAGUUUUCUCCAUUGCAGUGCAUGCAGUCUACUGUAGGAACAAGGCAGAAUAAGGACAAGAGAGACAGAAAGCCCUUGAUGAACUGGUCCAGAAACAUUCCCCCUCAUCUCACAUGAAGCACAGGAGCGUGAUCAGAGCACAAGGCUGAAGUAUGGCAUUUUUUGACAAAGUAAAAGCUUAUUUUCCUUGGUAAGAUGACUUUAACUAGAUGAUUAUAUUUGUACUAUUCCAUUAAAAAACCCCAACUCUAACCAGCUUAUGGACUGCAGGUUUUAAAAGAUCUAAAUUGAAUGUAUUAAGAUAUAAUUUUAAAUCUGUGCUUUGCUACUGUCAC